rnacentral:tRNA from 1 species
GGUAGAAUGGCUGAAAAAAGUGGUAAAUUGUAAAUUUACAGAUAAGAUUGUCUCUUUUCUACCA